CGCGGCCUAUCAGCUUGUUGGUGAGGUAGUGGCUCACCAAGGCGACGACGGGUAGCCGGCCUGAGAGGGCGACCGGCCACACUGGGACUGAGACACGGCCCAGACUCCUACGGGAGGUAGCAGUGGGGAAUAUUGCACAAUGGGCGCAAGCCUGAUGCAGCGACGCCACGUGAGGGAUGAAGGCCUUCGGGUUGUAAACCUCUUUCAGCAGGGAAGAAGCGUGAGUGACGGUACCUGCAGAAGAAGCACCGGCUAACUACGUGCCAGCAGCCGCGGUAAUACGUAGGGUGCGAGCGUUGUCCGGAAUUAUUGGGCGUAAAGAGCUUGUAGGCGGUUUGUCGCGUCUGCUGUGAAAAUCCGGGGCUCAACCCCGGACUUGCAGUGGGUACGGGCAGACUAGAGUGUGGUAGGGGAGACUGGAAUUCCUGGUGUAGCGGUGGAAUGCGCAGAUAUCAGGAGGAACACCGAUGGCGAAGGCAGGUCUCUGGGCCAUUACUGACGCUGAGAAGCGAAAGCAUGGGGAGCGAACAGGAUUAGAUACCCUGGUAGUCCAUGCCGUAAACGUUGGGAACUAGGUGUGGGUCUCAUUCCACGAGGUCCGCGCCGCAGCUAACGCAUUAAGUUCCCCGCCUGGGGA
rnacentral:rRNA from 1 species